GACGAACGCUGGCGGCGUGCUUAACACAUGCAAGUCGAGCGGUAAGGCCCUUUCGGGGGUACACGAGCGGUCGAACGGGUGAGUAACACGUGGGUGACCUGCCCUUAGCUCUGGGAUAAGCCUGGGAAACUGGGUCUAAUACCGGAUAUGACUCCAUAACGCAUGUUGUGGGGUGGAAAGCCUUGUGCGGCUAGGGAUGGGCCCGCGGCCUAUCAGCUUGUUGGUGGGGUGAUUGGCCCACCAAGGCGACGACGGUAGCCGGCCUGAGAGGGCGACCGGCCACACUGGGACUGAGACACGGCCCAGACUCCUACGGGAGGCAGCAGUGGGGAAUCUUGCGCAAUGGGCGAAAGCCUGACGCAGCGACGCCGCGUGGGGAUGACGGCCU
rnacentral:rRNA from 1 species